AUGAGCAGACGUUUUUUGCAAAGGUCAAAGGUCUAUCAGCAAAAUUCCUCCAGAGCCUCUGAUUGUUACUGUUUUUGCAGAGUUUGCCAGAGUAGAAAGUGGGAUCUCUCGUGUUGCAUUCAAGGCUGAAGAGGACUCAUUGACAAAGCAUUUCCCAAAAUUCUGAACCAGUUUAACAGAAAGAUCAAAGAUGUUAUUGCCAUAAGGCCUGCUAACCCGGGAGGUCUCUCAGUUUUCCUUGACAAUGAUGGAGGAGAGUUCUACAAUGUCUCUUGAUUCAGAUGCCAUGGCAGACUUCAUCCAGGUUCCUGUGGGGUUAUUGACUGUUAUAUUAUGCUUAGUAUAUCAUUUUGUUAAAAUAAAACGUUGAAUCUUG